UAAAAUGUAAAAAAAAAGUGGUGAACUUCUUAAUCUGGCAGAAGAAAUGUCUAGGCAGCACAGCAUUCAGGCGGUGGCAUGGAUAUUGCUGGUGGCUUUUAGCCAAGUUUAUUGUGAUAAUCAGGAGCAGAAAGCAAAGCAGAGAGAUUUUUAAAACUUGGACUUCAAAGGUGAGAGCAAAAUUGGGGCUAAGAAAGUUGCAGAUGUUAAAGAUCUUACUUCCACUAAAGAAAUGCUAAAGAUUUUUCCCAGAGACAAUAAGAAAGAUGGCUUGAGGGCAUCUCAGGAGCGAGCAAGACCACACCAUCUCAGGCUUAUGAAAGUGAAAGUUUUCUUGAGAAGAAACCAGUGGGGAAUCUUCCUUGCACAAGGGGGCCUAGGAAGUUUUUUCAACAUGCUCAGCCACCCAGGCACACAGAGGCUGAUGCACCCAGGCACACAGAGGCUGAAGCAAUGCAGGAUACUAAAGUUAGGGGGUCAUGGAGGCUUCCACCAAGAUUUCAAAGGAAGGCCAGGGAGGCCAGGAAAAGUGCAGCAGGGCCAGAGUACCUGCAGGCAACUGCUGAGAGGGCCAAUAUGUGAAGAUUUGAGGAAGAAGCAAAAGCUGUAGUGGAGACUAAGAAAUACCAGUAACAUGGGACAUCAUCCUAGGAAAGCUGCAUGAAUCGGGCAGAGACAAGCCAACAGAAAGGACACUUGGGCUGCAACCAAUAAGGCCAUAGGGGCAGAUCUGCACAAACCCUUUGGACGGAACAUCAUGAUGCCAUGUGCCCCCGAUGCCAGAAGUGGAGCUAUAGGACCUGUUUGCCCAGCUGGAUUUCCAUCUUGCUUUGGUCCUAUCCCUUCUUUCUAUGCCCUUAUAUUUGAAUGGAAAUGUCCAUUCUGUACCUUUAUAUAUUGAAUACACUUGUAAAUUGCUUUUAAAUUUACAAGAGCUUACAAUGUAAGAUUGACUUGAGCCUCAAAAAGACUUUGGACUUGAAUUUUGAGUAAUCUCAGAACUGUUGAGACUAUGAGGACUCUUGGGAAUGGACUAAAUGUACUUUGUAUUGUCAGAUGAGUGUGAGAUUUUGGGAACCAGGGGCAGAAUGUUAUGGUUUAUAUUUGGAGUCCCACAAAAGCUCAUGUGUGAGGUAAUGCAAGACGAUUUGGAGGAGAAACGAUUGGGUUAUAGCUUAACCUAAUCUGCUAAUUGAUCCCUGAUGGGAUUAACUGGGUGGUGGCUGGGAGCGGGCAGGGUGUGGCUAGAGGAAGGAGUUCAUUGAGGGCGCUGCUGUGGGGUAUAUAUUUUUUAUCUGAAGAGUGGAGUCUCUCUCUCACUCUCUCUGUCUUCUGAUCAUCAUGUGAGCUGCUUCCCUCCUCCACAUUCUUCCUCCAUGUUGUUCUGCUUCAUCUUGAACCCCAAGGAAUGGAUCCAGCCUUCUAUGGACUAAGACCUAUGAAACCAUGAGCCCUCAAAUAAACUUUUC
rnacentral:lncRNA from 1 species